rnacentral:rRNA from 1 species
GUGACUGCGUACCUUUUGUAUAAUGGGUCAGCGACUUAUAUUCUGUAGCAAGGUUAACCGUAUAGGGGAGCCGGAGGGAAACCGAGUCUUAACCGGGCGUUAAGUUGCAGGGUAUAGACCCGAAACCCGGUGAUCUAGCCAUGGGCAGGUUGAAGGUUGGGUAACACUAACUGGAGGACCGAACCGACUAAUGUUGAAAAAUU